UGCUAAUAAAGGGGUUCGAACCCUCAGCUUUAACUUUGGCAAAAUUACACUCUACCAUUUGAGUUACAUCAGC
rnacentral:tRNA from 1 species